UGGUGGAGUGAUUUGUCUGGUUAAUUCCGUUAACGAACGAGACCUCAGCUUGCUAACUAGUUGCGCGAAGUUUUUCUUCGCGUGAACUUCUUAGAGGGACUGCGGGCGUUUAGCCCGCGGAGGUUUGAGGCAAUAACA
rnacentral:rRNA from 1 species